rnacentral:rRNA from 1 species
UUUGCUCUGUACUGAUGACUUGCGAACGGGUGAUUAACGCGUAAGUAACCUGCCUGGUAGGGGGGGAUCUGUAUUGGAGGCUAUAACUAAUACCGCAAAAAAUCACAUAUUGCAUGAUAUCUGCUUGAAAGGAGCAAUUGCCCCACUACCAGAUGGACCUGCGUUGUAUUAGCUAGUUGGUGAGGUAACGGCUCACCAAGGCCACGAUACAUAGCCGACCUGAGAGGGUGAUCGGCCACACUGGGACUGAGACACGGCCCACACUCCUACGGGAGGCAGCAGUAGGGAAUCUUCGGCAAUGGAGGGAACUCUGACCGAGCAACGCCGCGUGAGUGAAAAAGGUUUUCGGAUCGUAAAGCUCUGUUGUAAGAAAAGAACGAGUGUGAGAGUGRAAAGUUCACACUGUGACGGUAUCUUACCAGAGGGGGACGGCUAACUACGUGCCAGCAGCCGCGGUAAUACGUAGGUCCCGAGCGUUAUCCAGAUUUAUUGGGCGUAAAGCGAGCGCAGGCGGUUAGAUAACUCUGAAGUUAAAGGCUGUGGCUUAACCAUAAUACGCUUUGGAAACUGUUUAACUUGAGUGCAAAAGGGGAGAGUGGAAUU